rnacentral:tRNA from 1 species
GGUGCGGUAGCUCAGUUGGUAGAGCAAUGGACUGAAAAUCCAUGUGUCGGGGGUUCAAAUCCCUCCCACACCA